rnacentral:lncRNA from 1 species
AAAGAAAAGAUACAAAUUUCCUUUUUUUUUUUUUUUUAUAAAUUCGAAUAGGCAAAAGAAACUAAUAAAAGCUGUAGUAGUAAUAGAAUUGGAAAGACUUGGAGAAGGUGAUCGACCGGGAAGGAAAUAAUUUGAAAACUCUUCGCAAAUAUGGAAACCGAAUAAACCUGUCGAUCAAACAAUUGGAAACCAAAUUAUGCAAUCCUAGCAACACGUUUUAUAUUUUUUUUUUUGACUUUAUGAAGAUUAAAACUAAGCAGAACAGGAUGUAACAAUCGGAUGCAAGCAAGAU